rnacentral:sRNA from 1 species
UAGCAUGUGUCUGAAAUGUUGGAUUCCC